CCCUUAGAGUUUGAUCCUGGCUCAGAACGAACGUUGGCGGCGUGGAUUAGGCAUGCAAGUCGAACGAAUCCCACCUGGGUAACUGGGUGGGGGAAGUGGCGAAAGGGGCAGUAAUGUAUGGGUAACCUACCCCGGGGACCGGCAUAGCCCUCCUAACGGAGGGGUAAUUCCGGGCGAUGUGGCUGAGAGGCAUCUCUUGACCAUGAGAUGAAUUUCGCCUCGGGAGGGGCUCAUAUCGUAUUAGCUAGUUGGUGGGGUAACGGCCCACCAAGGCGAAGAUGCGUAGCGGGUGUGAGAGCACGACCCGCGCCACUGGCACUGAGACACUGGCCAGACUCCUACGGGAGGCUGCAGUCGUGGAUCUUCGGCAAUGGGCGCAAGCCUGACCGAGCGACGCCGCGUGAGCGAUGAAGGCCUUCGGGUUGUAAAGCUCUUUAGUGGGGGAGAAAAGCGCAAGCUUGAUCUAUCCCAAGAAUAAGCACGGGCUAAGUUCGUGCCAGCAGCCGCGGUAAGACGAACCGUGCGAACGUUGUUCGGAAUCACUGGGCUUAAAGGGCGCGUAGGCGGCUUGCCAAGUCCGGGGUGAAAUCCUCCAGCUUAACUGGAGAAGUGCCUUGGAUACUGGCGAGCUCGAGUGAGGUAGGGGCCGUUGGAACUUCCGGUGGAGCGGUGAAAUGCGUUGAUAUCGGAAGGAACGCCGGUGGCGAAAGCGAACGGCUGGACCUCUUCUGACGCUGAGGCGCGAAAGCUAGGGGAGCGAACGGGAUUAGAUACCCCGGUAGUCCUAGCCCUAAACGAUGGGUACUAGAUAGUGGACUUAACAUGGGUUCACUGUCGAAGCAAAGUGGUAAGUACCCCGCCUGGGGAGUAUGGUCGCAAGGCUGAAACU
rnacentral:rRNA from 1 species